rnacentral:tRNA from 1 species
AGUCCCGUGGUGGAGUACACAUCAGAUUGCAAACCUGAAGACGUAGGCUGACAGCCUACCGGGACUU